rnacentral:rRNA from 1 species
ACUGCUCAGUAACACGUAGUCAACAUGCCCAGGGGACGUGGAUAACCUCGGGAAACUGAGGAUAAACCGCGAUAAGUCACUGCUUCUGGAAUGGGCAAUGACUUAAAUCUAUAUGGCCCCUGGAUUGGACUGCGGCCGAUCAGGCUGUUGGUGAGGUAAUGGCCCACCAAACCUGUAACCGGUACGGGCUCUGAGAGGAGGAGCCCGGAGAUGGGCACUGAGACAAGGGCCCAGGCCCUAUGGGGCGCAGCAGGCGCGAAACCUCCGCAAUAGGCGAAAGCCUGACAGGGUUACUCUGAGUGAUUUCCGUUAAGGAGGUCUUUUGGCACCUCUAAAAAUGGUGCAGAAUAAGGGGUGGGCAAGUCUGGUGUCGGCCGCCGCGGUAAUACCAGCACCCCGAGUGGUCGGGACGUUUAUUGGGCCUAAAGCAUCCGUAGCCGGUUCUGCAAGUCUUCCGUUAAAUCCACCUGCUUAACAGAUGGGCUGCGGAAGAUACUAUAGAGCUAGGAGGCGGGAGAGGCAAGCGGUACUCGAUGGGUAGGGGUAAAAUCCGUUGAUCCAUUGAAGACCACCAGUGGCGAAGGCGGCUUGCCAGAACGCGCUCGACGGUGAGGGAUGAAAGCUGGGGGAGCAAACCGGAUUAGAUACCCGGGUAGUCCCAGCUGUAAACGAUGCAGACUCGGUGAUGAAUUGGCUUUAUGCCAAUUCAGUGCCGCAGGGAAGCCGUUAAGUUUGCCGCCUGGGGAGUACGGUCGCAAGACUGAAACAUAAAGGAAUUGGCGGGGGAGCAC